AGUGAACGCUGGCGGUAGGCCUAACACAUGCAAGUCGAACGGCAGCACAGUAAGAGCUUGCUCUUACGGGUGGCGAGUGGCGGACGGGUGAGGAAUACAUCGGAAUCUACUUUUUCGUGGGGGAUAACGUAGGGAAACUUACGCUAAUACCGCAUACGACCUACGGGUGAAAGCAGGGGAUCUUCGGACCUUGCGCGAUUGAAUGAGCCGAUGUCGGAUUAGCUAGUUGGCGGGGUAAAGGCCCACCAAGGCGACGAUCCGUAGCUGGUCUGAGAGGAUGACAAGCCAAAUUGGAAUUGGGAACGGGCCAAGAUCCUUAGGGAAGGAGGCGUUGGGAAUAUUGGAACAUUGGGGGAAACCUGAACCAACCAUACCGCGUGGGUGAAGAAGGCCUUCGGGUUGUAAAGCCCUUUUGUUGGGAAAGAAAAGCAGCAGGUUAAUACCCCGCUGUUCUGACGGUACCCAAAGAAUAAGCACCGGCUAACUUCGUG
rnacentral:rRNA from 1 species